CCUAAGGGGGCGGGCCCGCUGCGGGCGGGGAAAUCAAGCUUGAGCAGGAGGGCAGAGGGCGUCUUGGGCACAGGCGAGGAGGAGCGGAGUUGGCAGAAAUGAAGAUCACAGCAUUUGGAGCUUCUUGGAAAUUCAAAACCAACCUAAGCUACAUAGCAAGCUUGAGACCAGCGUGAACUACAUGAGACCUUGUCUAAAAGCAAAACAAAACAACAGACCGUUCGUUAAAUAACCACCCAGAUGAGCUCUAAAGGGGAAAAAAAAAUCGUUUCUAAAGCAAUAGUCAGAUCUCACCAGUAGGUGGCACUAGUAAAUUGAUAAUGUUUUAUAUAAACGUAAUCUUCCCUUGUGGUCUUUCUAGCCCCGAUUAGAUAACAGUUGCUAUCUUCAGUAGGAGUUGCUGUCCAUAUUUCUAAUUUACUUACUUUUAGUUAACUAAUUAUUUUUCGAGCACAUUUACGUUUACAGCGAAAUAGGGAGAAAUGUAUUUCUAGAGAGUUAUUAGAACUCUGGUCCCCCCAGCAGCCCCCCACCUAAAGCAACAUCCCACUCUACAAGAAGUGCCUUUAAUAGAGAUCAUUAAGUUACUAAUCAUUUCAGAACACCUUUGUUUUACUGCUUAUCAAGUAUCACACAGUGGUACUGAUUUGGAGUACUACACUCGGCAGGGAUUAUUUUACAUUAUUAAUGAGCAAAUGGAGUAUCCAGACGGUCCAGAGACUUAAGGUACUUGCUGCCAGGCUGGGACUACCUGAAGUCUAUCCCUGGAACCCACAUGGUGUAGGAAGAGAACAGGCUCUGACAUGUUCUUUGACUUCUACAUGAUCCUCACUCGACACAAAAAUAAAUAAAAUGCUUAAUGGAGUAA